rnacentral:misc_RNA from 1 species
GAUGAAGAACGCAGCGAAAUGCGAUACGUAAUGUGAAUUGCAAAUUCAGUGAAUCAUCGAGUCUUUGAACGCACAUUGCGCCCCCUGGUAUUCCGGGGGGCAUGCCUGUCCGAGCGUCAUUGCUGCCCUCAAGCACGGCUUGUGUGUUGGGCCCCGUCCUCCGAUUCCGGGGGACGGGCCCGAAAGGCAGCGGCGGCACCGGGUCCGGUCCUCGAGCGUAUGGGGCUUUGUCACCCGCUCUGUAGGCCCGGCCGGCGCUUGCCGAUCAACCCAAAUUUUUAUCCAGGUUGACCUCGGAUCAGGUAGGGAUACCCGCUGAACUUAAGCAUAUCAAUAAGCGGAGGA